AUUGAACGCUGGCGGCAGGCUUAACACAUGCAAGUCGGGCGGUAACAGAGAGAAGCUUGCUUCUCUGCUGACGAGCGGCGGACGGGUGAGUAAUGCCUAGGAAUCUGCCUAGUAGUGGGGGAUAACUUGCCGAAAGGUAAGCUAAUACCGCAUACGUCCUACGGGAGAAAGGAGGGGACCUUCGGGCCUUUCGCUAUUAGAUGAGCCUAGGUCGGAUUAGUCAGUUGGUGAGGUAAUGGCUCACCAAGACCGCGAUCCGUAACUGGUCUGAGAGGAUGAUCAGUCACACAGGAACUGAGACACGGUCCAGACUCCUACGGGAGGCAGCAGUGGGGAAUAUUGGACAAUGGGGGGAACCCUGAUCCAGCCAUGCCGCGUGUGUGAAGAAGGUCUUAGGAUUGUAAAGCACUUUAAGUUGGGAGGAAGAGCAGUUAACUAAUAUUUGACUGUUUUGACGUUACCGACAGAAUAAGCACCGGCUAACUUCGUGCCAGCCGCCGCAGUAA
rnacentral:rRNA from 1 species